UACGUAGGUCGCAAGCGUUGUCCGGAUUUACUGGGCGUAAAGCGCACGUAGGCGGAUCGAUCAGUCAGGGGUGAAAUCCCAGGGCUCAACCCUGGAACUGCCUUUGAUACUGUCGAUCUGGAGUAUGGAAGAGGUGAGUGGAAUUCCGAGUGUAGAGGUGAAAUUCGUAGAUAUUCGGAGGAACACCAGUGGCGAAGGCGGCUCACUGGUCCAUUACUGACGCUGAGGUGCGAAAGCGUGGGGAGCAAACAGG
rnacentral:rRNA from 1 species